rnacentral:tRNA from 1 species
GCUUUUAAAGGAGAACAGCCCUCCCCUGGUUUUAGGUACCAGUCUUUCUUGGUGCAAAUCCAAGUAAGAGCU